rnacentral:rRNA from 1 species
CAGUAGCCGCGGUAAUACGUAGGUGGCAAGCGUUGUCCGGAAUUAUUGGGCGUAAAGCGCGCGCAGGUGGUUUAAUAAGUCUGAUGUGAAAGCCCACGGCUCAACCGUGGAGGGUUAUUGGAAACUGUUAAACUUGAGUGCAGGAGAGAAAAGUGGAAUUUCAUGUGUAGCGGUGAAAUGCGUAGAGAUUAGGAGGAACACCAGUGGCGAAGGCGGCUUUUUGGCCUGUAACUGACACUGAGGCGCGAAAGCGUGGGGAGCAAACAGGAUUAGAUACCCCCGUAGUCCCUGUCUCUUAUAC